GAAAUGCGAUAAGUAGUGUGAAUUGCAGAAUUCAGUGAAUCAUCGAAUCUUUGAACGCACAUUGCGCCCCUUGGUAUUCCAUGGGGCAUGCCUGUUCGAGCGUCAUUUGUACCCUCAAGCUCUGCUUGGUGUUGGGUGUUUGUCCCGUCUCCGCGCGUGGACUCGCCCCAAAGUGAUUGGCAGCCGGCGUACUGGUCCCGGAGCGCAGCACAUGUCGCGCAAACGAGUGCCUUGGUACGGCGGCGUCCAUAAGCCCCUCUCUCACGCUCAUGACCUCGGAUCAGGUAGGGAUACCCGCUGAACUUAAGC
rnacentral:misc_RNA from 1 species